CUAAGAGAGUGGUAUUUCAGGGAGAAGUUUUUUUAAAUUUAAUAAUUCAAGUUAUUUUAAUUUGUGAAGAAACAAUUAUAUAAAUUAAGGACAAGAAGACCCUAAGAAUUUAAGAAUUCUUAUGUUACUUAAAUAUAAAAUAGGAAUUCUUAGUUGGGGCAACUAAAAAACAUUAUAAACUUUUUUUCUUUAAAAUGACCCAUUAUUAAUGAUAAUAUGAUUAAAUACUCUAGGGAUAACAGCGUAAUAA
rnacentral:rRNA from 1 species